AUUGAACGCUGGCGGCAUGCCUUACACAUGCAAGUCGAACGGCAGCACGGACUUCGGUCUGGUGGCGAGUGGCGAACGGGUGAGUAAUAUAUCGGAACAUACCUUGUAGUGGGGGAUAACUAUCCGAAAGGAUAGCUAAUACCGCAUACGCUCUAAGGAGGAAAGCGGGGGAUCGUAAGACCUCGUGCUAUAAGAGUGGCCGAUAUCUGAUUAGCUAGUUGGUGGGGUAAAGGCUCACCAAGGCGACGAUCAGUAGCUGGUCGGAGAGGACGACCAGCCGCACGGGAACUGAGCCACGGUCCAGACUCCUACGGGAGGCAGCAGUGGGGAAUUUUGGACAAUGGGGGCAACCCUGAUCCAGCAAUGCCGCGUGAGUGAAGAAGGCCUUCGGGUUGUAAAGCUCUUUUGUCAGGGAAGAAACGGUUGUGGCUAAUAUCCAUGGCUAAUGACGGUACCUGAAGAAUACGCACCGGCUAACUACGUGCCAGCAGCAGCCGCCGUAA
rnacentral:rRNA from 1 species